GAGACCCUGGGAGCAGAAAAUCGGGACUCUUCCUCGGGAACCAGGGUGACGCCUCCUGGGGCAGCCGCGGGCGCGCUGGCUGCAACUCCUCCUCUACUGCCCGUGCCUUCCAGGGCUCGAGGACUCUGGGAUUGCUGCCUCCUGCCUCAAGAGUGGCUUCGACUCCAGGGAAGGCUCCCUCCACUUCGGACAGCGACUGCUGGUUCUGUGCUUUUUCUCCUGGGAGCUCCAGACCUUGACAGGGUCGAGGGAAGAGCAGUCUGUCGUCCAGGGAAAUGGGUAUAGGCGGGACUACGGACGGCGCGUCCAACGGCUGGUUCCCCUGGAAGGGACAAGGGUCCAAGUGACCAAGCAAGGGGGACCCGACGUGGGUGGGAGAGGGAGCGGCUCCCGACGCGUGGGGUGCCCGCGGAUCCUUUGCCUGCAGCUCAGUCAUGACGACCCGAGCUCCCCUUUUCUCCUCCCCUGUCUCCAGGGAGGAGGGAAAAGGGAAGGAGGAGGGGGUGCCCGUGAUAUAGGGGCAGAGGGAGGGGGAAGUGGGUGUUGAAUCGCAGGACCCGUGGGAUCUCCACCUCCAGGUCGGGAGGGGCGGUGCUGGUCAGCUCCCGUCCUUACCCUCCACCCAGACACAGAAGAAGGGUGGCGGUCGCGCUGGCUAGGCGGUGGGGUGAGGGCAGGAAGAAGUAGCUAGAGCAAGCUGGUCUCUGAACUGGGAGAGUUCUUCCAAAGACUUUCCUCGUGUCUGUCAGGGUGCUCACUCAUCCCGCGCUGGUGCUGUGAAAAGCGCUUCUGCUGCUUGCGGACCUGUUCCCUCCAUAGAAACGCGGGAGUCUAAGAAGUUUGCAUCGUAUUUCUGGCUAAAACCCUGGGGCUGGCUGCAGUUCAUUCCUAGUCAUCCUCCUGUGGCAGCGACAGCUUCUCAAACUCCCUGGGUUCUCUUUAGUGCCAGCAGUCUGUGGUUUCAGGUGCCUCUGGGAAAGCCCAAGGGAAACGAGUCGUCUUUGGGCUCGCAGAAUCCUCACACCGGCAAUGCUACAAAGGCUGAGAGAUAGUGGCAGUCUAGACUGGCUCCAUUGCUUUCUAGCAAGCCUCGCGCUCUAGGAAGGUCCGCCCAAAGCCCCUCCCUAGCCAAUCACCAGCUAGAUCCAGAACUCCGGAGUUGGCAUUCCUGCCACCCACUAGUCUGGGCUCCACUUGGAAUAUCAAAUGCUCUGGGAAGAAGCCUCCUAAGCAUAUCAGAUUUUACACUGUCAGUUAGGUGUGCCAGUACCAGUGAGGGAAAAAAAAUAUACAUGCUAUCAAAAGCAAAACUGCUGUAAGGACUUCAGGGUUUGAAAUUUGUAAAGAUUCUACAUUUGGUGACACCAUUUUUAAAAAUAAACGUAUAGAAAAUGAUUCCCAAUAUUUUAGUUGUUUUUACAUGCAUAUGUCUCUGUGAGUGUAUGCCACAUUGUGCUCAGAGGCCAGAAGAUAGGAUGGGGGCCCUCAGAAGUGGAGUUUCGGGUGGUUGUGAGGGGUCUGAUGUGUGUUCUGGGAACUAAGCUGAGGCCCUGUGAAACAGCAUCAGGUGCUCUUGUGUGUAUAUGUGUGCAUCACUAAUGGUCUGUCUAACCUGCUCCUAAACGUGAGAAACACAUUCCAAUUACUCUCAUGACGAGCGGGUCACACUCUUUUUGAGGGCCACCCAUGUGACUUAUCAUUGUAGUAGUGGAAGACAGUUGGUAACACACCUCUACCUGUGUGGGGAGUUCGGAUGCUGGGUGUCAUGUUUGUCUUGUACUAAUGCAUCUGUAUAUUUUCAUAAAGUCCCCUUCAGACCUCAUUAAAUACCCUGUAUCAUAUCUUAAGGUCUCCAGAGCAGAGGCUGAACAGUAUUUUCUCCUCUCAGUGUUUCUCUACUCUUAAAAUAGUUUUCAUUGAGCUUCUGAAGUAGUCAUUUGGAAAAAUUCCCUUGAGUGUGUCCAGGUCCCAGGUAUGCUGAUGCCUUGCAGUUAUUCUCACCCAGGUCCAGAAGAUACGUGCAAGGCUCCAAAACUCCAGGGCAGGUGGGGCUAAUAGGGUCACAGAGCCUGAAUGCCUGGACCACCAGGGAGCCGCUGCAUAUGAGAAGCAUAUCUCCUUUGCAUUGGGCGUUGACUAUUCCAGCAAUGAGUUAUCGCUGACUAAUUUAGACGUGAGAGAAUUAGGGAGGUAGAAGAGAAUUCAAGGAAGCAGUUAUUGUAUGUUCUUAAAGCAUCAAAUGGUAACAUGGAGUGUGGGAACCGCAGUGGGCAUUAGGGACAGCACAUGGAAUAAGUGUGGGAAGGAAAGAAAUGAAGUUGGCAGGUGGCCUCCUGUACAUGUGUGUGUGUGUGUGUAUGUAUGUGUGUGUAUGUAUGUAUGUGUGUGUGUAUGUAUGUUGUAUAUGGGGAGCCUUGACCACAGACAAAGUGAGAUAUAGAAUUUUUACCUCCAAAAGUGCACUCAUGCCCUUUAAACUCCCUUCAUAUUGUCCUUUCUCACCUGGUCCCUGCAGUAUCACUGCCACCCUGGUAAGUCAUUGUAUAUUAGGGUCUCUACAGAGUCCUGCCUGGUUUACUAAGUGUUAUGUUAAAUGAUUAUCCACGUCUUAGAUAUAAGCAUUUUCAGGACUUUUACUAAUAGGACUUGCUUUUCAGAAUAGUUGUAGAUUAACAGCAGGACCUAGCAGGAAAUAAAGAGUGUUCUCUGUGUGGCUUCCUGUACACUGCUGCAGGAGGCAUGCUUCCGUUAGUGAGUGCAGGCUGCUGCGUGACUGUAACUAGGGCCCAGAGCCUUUACAGUUUUCCUGUGUUCUUUCCCAAGAUCCCACCCAGGACACCUUGUUUCAUUGCUGUAAUGACUUCUUGGGCUCCCCUGUGCUGUGCCAGCAUCUCUUCUCUUGUAUUUCAUGACUUUGGUAGUCCUGAGAACCCUUGGAGGAUGGCAUUCUUUAUGCAGUCAAAGCUCAUGUUUUUGGGAAAGAGAGUCAACAUUGGCACGUGCUGUUUUCACUGCCUUGCAUCAAGAGUUCACAGUGAACAGAAGAUGCUGGUCUCAGGUACCUGUGUGAAGCAGUGUGUUCCAGGGUCCCUCAUAUGCUUACCAUUCCCAUCUUUGGAAGGAAGUCACUAUGAGCCGUUUGUGGGAAUGUGUGGGUGUAGGAAGUUAUUUUCUGUUUCCAUUAAGGUGGAGUAUCCAACUGGAAACUUGAUUGGUAAUUCUGCCCGGGGAGCACCAUUCACCCUUAUCACUGCGUUAUUCUGUCUUUCAUGUGUAUCACUAUGGAUACAUUUUGUUCCUCAAGGAUUUUCAGCCUUGAGUGUUGGGAUCUCCUUCACUUGUCCUUUGUGUCUGUUGGCAUAUUUCACUGUUACAGAAGGGUAUGUGUGCAAUGGACUGCUCUGAGCAUGGUCUUGGCUCUCUAGUACCAUAAGCUUCUCCAGACUUCUUUUGCAUACCACCUGUAACCUCCUAAAAUGAGCCAUUUUAUUUGAAAAAUAUAUGAUAUUAUAAACAAAGAUAUCCAUUCCAGUUUAUAUAAUGUACUCUACACUAGGUUUUCAUGUCUUGUUUGAUUUUUUUAUAUAAUACUUUGAAUUUCACUCUAUUGUAGUGUGUAUCAACAGCUUGCUCUCUGUUGCUGGGUGGAAGUCCAAUGAAUACACUACGAUAUGUUUUCUUGUGCACUGCUGAUAAACAGUUGUAUUAUUUAUAAGUUUUGCUAGAAAUUUACUAUCAAAAUGUGUAUAUAAGUCUUUGUAUACAUAUGCUUUAAUUUUUCGUGGGCAAAUGUUUAGAAAUGAAAUGGCUAGAUACACUCAUGUGUUCUGUGGUCUGCUUGUGAUCUCCAUGGAAUUCAUAGACUGCCUCUGUGUUGACAGUGGGGCUGUUGGGAGAGCGAUGUGCUGUGGACAGCUGCCUGGUCCCUCUUACCCCAUGGGGACAUGGUGAGAAGUUCUAUCUGGGAACCAUAGAGAAGAUCAUCACCAGAAAUUGGAUCUGCCACUUUGAUGAAGCCCUGAUUAGUGUGAGAUAAAUUCCUGUUGCAUCUAAGCUACCCAGUGAGUGCGUGACAUUUUGUGACAGCAGCCCCAAGGACCAACACAAUAACGUAUACACAGAACUGGGAAACUACUUCCUUAAGGUGAUGAAUAUUUGUAAUUUUAGAAAAUUUUAGAAUUGUGUGAUGGGAUCAGGAGGUUCUGGUUUUUCUUUUCCAGUGUUUGUUUUCCGGUUAUCUUUCCCCAUAUCUUAAAAUGCUGAGAAUAAGUGACAGACUUCCCGUGUGGAAUGGGAAGGGGCUCAUAAGGAGCUGCUCCUGGUCAGGGGCUGAUGGCGGUGGGCAGUUGCUGGGUAAUGGCCAGUCAUGUGGGGUGGGUGUAUUGCCAUUGGUAGGUUACUCAUGAUCCAGUGGGUGGCCCCACACUCCUGUACAUGUGGGCAACACUAACUGAGCUCACUGCAUGUAAAACAAAGGAAGAGACCAUGAAGGUUGGAAGGGAGUUUGUUGAAGGUCGCCAGGGAGAGUAAGAAGGGCUUGAAAGGAGAGCUGAUGUGUGUAUGGAUAUGAUCAAGUAUUUUGUAUGCAUGUACAAAUUGGUCAAAUGACAAAUAAAAUAUUAUUUAAAAAUA